UUGAGUAAAAUGAGAAAGUUUUUUUCAUCUUUGGGUUUUGUGUUCUUCCUGCUUCUUCUUCUUGGCAACAGUCCUGUUCUUGCUUCUAAACAAGAAUCACUCCCAAGAGCUGGGAGGAGAAUGAUAAGUUAUCAAACAGAUGGUCAGAUCGAUACAGGCCCAUCUUACAGUGGCAGAGGUGGUGGUCGAAAUCCAUGAGCUCCCUCCUUCCUCUUCUCGAUCAUCUCUUUCAAGUUAUUUGCGAUUAUAUUGACGUUUGUAAUUCACAGGCACGUUAGAGAUGAUAAUGUAAUCUUUCCAUUGUCUGAACAAUUGUUUCAAACCAAGGUGACCGUAAUCUUGUAGCUCAAAGUCAGACAACAACAAUUCGAAACAUCAAGAAUUAUAUGACAUUGAUUUUGAAUCUAAAAACUCAAAAAGAGUCCUCUGAAACAAAAAAAAAAA